rnacentral:tRNA from 1 species
GCGUCCUCGUACGCGGCGAAGUACGCGCCGAUGACCUCCGCGGACGGGCGAUCGGCGUCGGCGCCCGCCAGUUCCAUGCCCGGCAGGGCGUGC